rnacentral:rRNA from 1 species
AUGAGGCAGCCGCACCUCCUCUCGCCGCAGCGGCUCUCCCCCUCGCCCGUCCUCUCCCCCCACUUCUCGCCGCCCUGCGCGGCGCAGGGCGGCUCGCCGUGGCGGUGGCGCCACCGCCGGGCCUUCCACCCGCCGCUCUCCUCGCUGCGGGAGUCCGACAAGGGCACGCUGCGCAAGGCCUCGCCCAACCUCCCCUUCCGGCUCGGCGGCGGCGGCGGCGGGGGCGGCCGCAGCCCCGACGACCGCCGCUCCGCCGCCGACCGGGAGAAGAAGGGGAAGGAGAAGGAGGAGGAAGAGGGCGAAGGGUUCUCGGGGGCCCUCACCGGGACGCUGCUCGCCGGGGCGGUGCUGGUCGGGGUCGUAGGGGGGUUCGGGGCCGCCGGGUACGUGUACAAGGACCAGAUCAAUACCUUCCUCACGCACUUCUCCGGGUUCAUUGAGGGCUAUGGCACUGCUGGGUACGCGUUGUUUAUACUUGCCUAUGCAGGAUUGGAGGUUCUUGCAAUUCCAGCAGUACCGUUGACCAUGUCUGCAGGUCUAUUAUUCGGUAGUGUUACUGGUACUAUUAUGGUUUCAAUCAGUGGGACACUAGCUGCCGCUGUGGCCUUUCUCAUUGCUAGAUACUUUGCCAGAGAGCGUAUUCUUAAGAUGGUUGAAGGAAACAAGAAGUUUCUGGCGAUUGAUAAAGCGAUAGGUGAAAAUGGUUUCAAGGUUGUGACUCUGCUUCGCUUGAGUCCCCUAUUACCUUUCUCCCUUGGGAACUACCUGUACGGUUUGACUUCAGUCAAGUUCUUACCCUACGUGUUGGGCAGUUGGUUGGGUAUGCUUCCAGGAACAUGGGCCUAUGUCAGUGCUGGUGCAUUUGGGCGAGCUAUAAUCCAAGAUGAGACGGAAAUCGGUUUGGGAGGAAACAACCAGCUAUUGACACUGGGCAUAGGGCUAUUAGUUACAGCCGUUGCUGCUACUUAUGUAACACGGCUUGCUAAGGAUGCUGUAAAGGAUAUUGACGACGAAUAG